GGCGAACGCUGGCGGCGUGCCUAAUACAUGCAAGUAGAACGCUGAAGGAGGAGCUUGCUUCUCUGGAUGAGUUGCGAACGGGUGAGUAACGCGUAGGUAACCUGCCUGGUAGCGGGGGAUAACUAUUGGAAACGAUAGCUAAUACCGCAUAAUAGUAGAUGUCGCAUGACAUUUGCUUAAAAGGUGCAAUUGCAUCACUACCAGAUGGACCUGCGUUGUAUUAGCUAGUUGGUGAGGUAACGGCUCACCAAGGCAACGAUACAUAGCCGACCUGAGAGGGUGAUCGGCCACACUGGGACUGAGACACGGCCCAGACUCCUACGGGAGGCAGCAGUAGGGAAUCUUCGGCAAUGGACGGAAGUCUGACCGAGCAACGCCGCGUGAGUGAAGAAGGGUUUCGGAUCGUAAAGCUCUGUUGUAAGAGAAGAACGAGUGUGAGAGUGGAAAGUUCACACUGUGACGGUAUCUUACCAGAAAGGGACGGCUAACUACGUG
rnacentral:rRNA from 1 species